ensembl:lncRNA
GUUGGUUAAGGGCUUGUAAGUAAGCAUUUCACGGUAAGGUCUACACUGUUGGUUAAGGGCUUGUAAGUAAGCAUUUCACUGUAAGGUCUACACUGUUGGUUAAGGGCUUGUAAGUAAGCAUUUCACUGUAAGGUCUACACUGUUGGUUAAGGGCUUGUAAGUCAGCAUUUCAUGGUAAGGUCUACACUGUUGGUUAAGGGCUUGUAAGUCAGCAUUUCACGGUAAAGUCUACACUGUUGGUUAAGGGCUUGUAAGUCAGCAUUUCACUGUAAGGUCUACACUGUUGGUUAAGGGCUUGUAAGUCAGCAUUUCACUGUAAGGUCUACACUGUUG